UUCCGGUUGAUCCUGCCGGACCUGACUGCUAUCGGAUUGAUACUAAGCCAUGCUAGUCUUUGUAGUAAUACAAGGCAUACGGCUCAGUAACGCGUAGUCAACCUACCCUAUGGACGGGGAUAAUCUCGGGAAACUGAGCAUAAUACCCGGUAGACCACUUCUCCUGGAAUGGUUAGUGGUUAAAAUGAUUCGUCGCCAUAGGAUGGGACUGCGGCCUAUCAGCUUGUUGGUGAGGUAAUGGCCCACCAAGGCGAUUACAGGUACGGGCUCUGAGAGGAGAAGCCCGGAGAUGGGUACUGAGACACGGACCCAGGUCCUAUGGGGCGCAGCAGGCGAGAAAACUUUGCAAUGUGCGAAAGCACGACAAGGUUAAUCCGAGUGUUUUCUGCUAAAGAAAUCUUUUGCCAGUCAUAAAACCACUGGUGAAUAAGGGGUGGGCAAGUUCUGGUGUCAGCCGCCGCGGUAAAACCAGCACCUCAAGUGGUCAGGAUGAUUAUUGGGCCUAAAGCAUCCGUAGCCGGCUAUGUUAGUUUUCGGUUAAAUCCAUGUGCUCAACACAUGGGCUGCCGAAAAUACUGCAUGGCUAGGGAGUGGGAGAGGUAGACGGUACUCAGUAGGAAGGGGUAAAAUCCUUUGAUCUAUUGAUGACCACCUGUGGCGAAGGCGGUCUACCAGAACACGUUCGACGGUGAGGGAUGAAAGCUGGGGGAGCAAACCGGAUUAGAUACCCGGGUAGUCCCAGCUGUAAACGAUGCAGACUCGAUGAUGCAUUGGCAUAUAGCCAGUGCAGUGUCGCAGGGAAGCCCGUUAAGUCUGCCGCCUGGGAAGUACGUACGCAAGUAUGAAACUUAAAGGAAUUUGGCGGGGGAGCACCACAAGGGGUGAAGCCUGCGGUUCAAUUGGAGUCAACGCCGGAA
rnacentral:rRNA from 1 species